GGCUGUAACUAAGGAGUUCAGACAAACACAGGUAAAACUAAUCUAGUGAGAAAAAGGGUGCAUUUAAUUAUUUGUCUUAAAAUAUGUUGGGUAAAGUAACUGUGAUUUUCUUGUCAGAUUUCAGAUAUACAAUGCAGAAGAGGUUUCCAUCAAUUCUGGAAGUGUAUUACAAAUCCAAUGAGUGGUCUGGAAUUCACGGCAUAAGGGAGAAUGACCAAAUGACAUGGUUAAGCAGCAAGAACUGAACCCUCUGUGCCUGAACUGUUUCUUCCUUUUGAUGAUGCU